rnacentral:rRNA from 1 species
GACCUCAAAUCGGGGAGACUACCCGCGACA